GAAGGUGGGGAUGACGUCAAGUCCUCAUGCCCCUUAUAUCUUGGGCUGCAAACAUGCUACAAUGGCCGGUACAGAGGGCUGCGAAAUCGCAAGAUGGAGCGAAUCUCAAAAAGCCGGUCUCAUGUCGGAUUGGGGUCUGCAACUCGACCCCAUGAAGUCGGAGUCGCUAGUAAGCCCGAAUCAGCAACGUCGCGGGGAAUGCUUUCCCGGGCCUUGUACACACCGCCCGUCACGGCACGAAAGUCGGCAACACCCGGAGCCGGUGGCCUAACCCGUAAGGGAGGGAGCCGUCGAAGGUGGGGCCAGCGAUUGGGACGAAGUCGUAACAAGGUAGCCGUACCGGAAGGUGCGGCUGGAUCACCUCCUUUC
rnacentral:rRNA from 1 species